rnacentral:rRNA from 1 species
UACGAAGGGUGCAAACGUUGCUCGGAAUCAUUGGGCGUAAAGCGCACGUAGCGGCCUCAAAGUCGGAUGUGAAUCCCGUGGCUCAACCAUGGACGUGCAUUCGAAACUGCGAGGCUUGAGUAUGGAAGAGGGUCGCGGAAUUCCGGUGUAGAGGUGGAAAUUCGUAGAUAUCGGGAGGAACACCAGUGGCGAAGGCGGCGACCUGGGCCAAUACUGGACGCUGAGGUGCGAAAGCGUGG